UAAUGCUCCAAGAUUCUUUAAUUUGCAGAUAACAUCUGGUAUGAUUCCCUUUAUCAUGUUGCUUUGUAGGUAAAGUUGUUGAAGUUUUAGCAUGCCUUGGACAGUUUUUGGAAUGUGUCCAGUCAACUCAUUUUUUGACAAAUCCAUCCUUAUCAAACCAGUAAAAUUACCAAUAUCUUCAGGAAUGACGCCUUUCAGUUUACAAUCCCGUCCUUGCAAUAUUUCCAGAGAAUCAGAGAGAUUCCCAAAUGAUGGCUGGAAGAAGACCAGUUGGUUGCUAAGAUGUUAGGAUCAGAAGAAGAAAUGUGAGAUUUGACGGCAAGAAGAGCCGCUUCAUCAUUGCUAAUAUUGGGAAACGUAGCAAGUGAAUUUUGGUCAUGAAGCAGAAUAAUAACUGCAAGAGCAAAGAGAAGAUUGAAGCUUCUGCCCAUAACUAUAACAAUGAGGUCUCUCUUUUUCCUUUUUGAGCUAAAACAAGAAUGUUUGAGUUUUGCAGUCCUGAACUUACCUCAGUGGUGCAGCAACUCUGUUAAAAUAGCAUGUCUAGGAUUCCUAGUCUAUCAGCUGUUGGAAUAUAUAAUUUCGACUUUCUUCCUUUCUCUUCAGUUAUUCAUAUAAAAAAUGUAGCGCCACCACAAGUGACCAGAAAGUAUAGGACAUUCAGUUUGACA